rnacentral:rRNA from 1 species
UGAGCUCAAAUUUAAAAUCUGGCGUCUUUCAGGCGUCCGAGUUGUAAUCUAUAGAGGCGUUUUCCGCGCCGGACCGCGUCCAAGUCUCUUGGAAUAGAGUAUCAAAGAGGGUGACAAUCCCGUACUUGACGCGACAACCGGUGCUCUGUGAUACGUUCUCAAUGAGUCGAGUUGUUUGGGAAUGCAGCUCUAAAUGGGUGGUAAAUUCCAUCUAAGGCUAAAUAUUGGCGAGAGACCGAUAGCGAACAAGUACCGUGAGGGAAAGAUGAAAAGCACUUUGGAAAGAGAGUUAAACAGCACGUGAAAUUGUUAAAAGGGAAACGAUUGAAGUCAGUCGUGUGAAAGGUAUUCAGCCGUCUCUGGCGGUGUAUUUGCCUUUCACGGGUCAACAUCAGUUUGAUCCGGUAGAAAAAGGCGGGAGGAAGGUGGCACCCUCGGGUGUGUUAUAGCCUCCUGUCAUAUGUGCCGGACCAGACUGAGGAACGCAGCUUGCCGCAAGGCCGGGGUUCGCCCACGUACAAGCUUAGGAUGUUGACAUAAUGGCUUUAAACGACCCGUCUUGAAACACGGAC